AAGGAGGGACUCAGGCAAGAGGUAGCUAGGGAAAACAUCCCCCAUGACCCACCCCAAGUGACCUCUGUCCUUCAGCUUGGCUGACCUUGUAGACUUUCCACACUUUCCCAAAAUAGCUGGGGGUCAAGCAUUCAAAAUGCAAGUCUUAGAAUAUUUUAUACCUACAUCAGACCAAAGGGUAUGUCUGAUGGUAAAUGGGUUGGAAUGCCUAUGGAAGAACUGGUGUAGGUAUGAGAAUUUAGAAUGUACCACAGUGAGCAUAGGGUUGAGGUCUCAAGCUAAACACUGAGCCAUGGAAGUUCCAGGAGCCAGUUCAAUUUGAAGCAAUAGACUUAAGUAAGAAUCAUUCCUUUACCCAGCCGGGAAAUGCCAUCUUCAGCCAUUAUAAUCCAAUGAUUAACUCACCACAGUUGUGGCCACCUGCACUGGGCCAACAUAGGAAUGGCCAUGUCAGCCGUCAUAGAAGGAGGAAGAACUCAUGGUUGAUUCUGGGAGAGCAAGUUUAGUCACAUGUCUACCAUUGAGCCUACCAGUUUCUAACAGACAGUCUAAGCUUUCACACAGAUGUCCUUGGUUAAACCCAGUGGGUCACAAAAGAAAACAAACAAGAAUGAACAUGAAAAAGAGAUUCAUGGGGAAGUGGAAUAGAUGGGGUGGUAAGAAGCCUUCGAUUGCUUCCCAUGAGGAUGCUCCAGCAAGACACUGAGAAGCCGAUACAAUCUGCCAAGAUUCAUCAAGCUUGGCAGGGCCUGUCUCCUAGCCUGCCAAGCUCUACAAGAGCCAAAUUCCCAUAGCUACUGAAAUCGGCUUCUAGGAGCUACUUGUUACCUGAUAUCCUGAUGCACCACAUCUUUCCCUUAGACAUGAAGAUGCCCUGAACUGGUUUAUUUCCAAGUCGACAAAUUGAUGAAUGCCUUGUGGUGAAAUGUUAUGGGUUCCUUCCUUGUGGGACUGAGCCUUUCAAGUUCAGGCUGGCUUGUUAGCCAUCAGCUCCAAUUCUGCACCCUCAUCCCCAGGAGAACAGCAUAGCAUCGAUGCCAUCUUCUUCUCUGUCUCCUUUGGGUCCACUGUAGAAAAUUCCCUGAAUACACAGUGCUCUAACAAGUACCAGGGUGAGUU